AUGAUACAUGGUCCAUGUGGUCAAGCACACCCCAAAUCACCAUGCAUGGUCGAUAAAAGUUGUGCCAAACAUUUCCCCAAGAAUUUUUGCACUGAGACUACCAUAGAUGAAGAUAACGAUCCAGUAUAUAGAAGGCGAGAUGAUGGCAACACUGUGGACAAAAAUGGAGUGAAGCUAGACAAUAGAUUUGUUGUGCCAUACAAUAGAAACCUACUGGUCAAGUAUCAAGCCCACAUAAAUGUUGAAUGGUGCAACAGAUCAAGGUCUAUAAAGUAUUUAUUCAAAUACAUCCACAAAGGAGAAGAUCGAACAACCGUCUUGAUAGAAGCGGAAGACCAACAAAGUGAAACUAGAGCUAGCAAAUUAACAAACAGGGACGACGAAAUCAAGAGGUACCUAGAUGCCUGGUACAUAUCUGGAUGUGAAGCCGCAUGGCGCAUAUUUCAGUUUCCUCUUCAGUACAGAGAGCCUGCGGUUGAGAGGUUACAAUUUCACCUAGAAAAUGAACAUGUCGUGGUGUUCCCGGACUCAAUGGAUUUAGAUCAAAUUGUAUCCCGGCCUAACAUAGAAAAGACAAUGUUCACAGAAUGGAUGACAACCAACCAGUUGCAUGAAGAAGCUCGCAGUUUGACGUAUGCACAGUUUCCAACCAAAUGGACUUGGCAUGCACAAGAGAAAGAAUGGAGGAAAAGGCAUGGUGAAAAAAACCAUAGGCAGGAUUUACUAUGCACAACCAAUGAGCGGUGA
rnacentral:rRNA from 1 species